rnacentral:rRNA from 1 species
AGUGAACGCUGGCGGCGUGCCUAAUACAUGCAAGUCGAACGGAGUGGCGCACGGGUGAGUAAGGUAUAGCUAAUCUGCCCUACACUAGAGGACAACAGUUGGAAACGACUGCUAAUACUCUAUAGUGUAGGAUGAGGCUAUAUUGUAUCAGCUAGUUGGUGAGGUAAUGGCUCACUAAGGCUAUGACGCAUAACUGGUCUGAGAGGAUGAUCAGUCUACCUCGAACUGAGACACGGUCCAGACUCCUGCGGGAGGCAGCAGUAGGGAAUAUUGCUCAAUGGGGGUAACCCUGAAGCAGCAUCGCGGCGUGGAGGAUGUCACUUUUCGGAGCGUAAACUCCUUUUGUUAGGUAAGCGGUACCUGACGAAUAAGCACCGGCUAACUCCGUGCCAGCAGCCGCGGUAAUAC